GGCUCAACCCAUCCGCCGGCCUCGGCCUCACAAAGUGCUAGGGUUACAGGCGCGAGCCACCGUGCCUGGCCACCUAAAGUCCAUAGUUGAUUCUGAUUGCCUUAGUUUUUGCUUAAUGUCCUUUUUCUGUUCCAGGAUACCACAUGGAGCAUUUUGAGGAGUGCUGGCCAGGUAUUUUGUAGAAUGUUCCUCAACUGGGAUUUGGCAGAUGCUUCUCAUCCUUAGUCUUGGCUUGUGUGUGUUUUGAGGAGGAGGACCACAGAGCUUAAGAAUCAUUCUCAGCACUCUGUAUCAGGCACGCAUUCUCUCAAGAUGACUUGCCGCUAUUGAAGUUGACUUUGAUCACCUGGCUGAGGAUCGACAUUUGUUCAAGAAGCCUGGUUCCUUUUACUGGAGAAUGGUGUUUAUUGGAGAACAGAGACCUGGGCACCAGAGGAGGAUCAGAGGACUUCUGUCCUGAGAUUGCCAGAAAAAUGAUGAACAGAAAAUUAUACACAACCGAACAGGCCCAACUUUCAAAUGGACUGAGAAUGACCCACACAAGUUCCACCGAGGCCAAGGGUGACCUGCAGCCAGCGACAGGGAAAGACUGCCACUUACUGGCGGCCUCCGGAACUGGAAGGAGUGUACUGACAAUUGUAUCUUUCGCAAGCUCUUAACCUUUAUACCGUCAAUAAAAACCCCAUUAACAUUUAAAAGGGAUGUUUCUGGGUGUCCACUUGGAAUAAGAGUUGGAAAACACUCCAAGAAAUGGAUCCUGUAUUAAUAUCACAUCUGUCCCAGAUCUCCAACACUGUUCACUUUCCUUCCACGGUGCCAACACCAAGCUAGCUGAUAGGUGGGAACAGGGCAGCUCUGCGGUUGGCCCCCAAGAGCCAGGGAGUCCCCCAAGCUGACCCCCUGGGGUGGCAGUGGCACCUAACAAGAACUUCCACCUUGUUUUCCCUCUCUCUGUUUUGUCCUUUUGGACUCUGCUCACGCAUCACAUCCAGAAAGUUCCCUAAGCUCUCCAGUGGGAUGAGAACUCUGCUCUGUGCUCCUGUGGUCCUCCAUGUUCCUCCACCUGGAGGCCCUCGGCUCCCUGCAUUACCCCUGUCUACUUACUGACUUGCCUUCUACCCAGUGAUGGGCCAUGUGCUGUGAGGGCACACACUGUGUGCCCAUCUAUUCAUUCCUCUGUGCGUGCGUUCAUUCAUUCCUUACUGAAUGCCCACCAAGUGCCAAGCAUUGGGGUACGAAGAACAAGGCAGACGGGGCCUCCCUGGCCUCUUCCAGCUCGCUGUAGAGUGUUGUCUACCCUACUCAUCCUCACAUACCCAUGCCUGUCCUAUGUGGCACUCAAUAAAUGUCGGAUGGAUGGAUGUGUCCCCUCCUUCAAUAUCACUUAAUUCACUUGAUGACUUCCUGUGAGGAUUAAGUUUAGCUGUUAAAAUGCUGUGACUUCCUCUGGAUCUCUGAUGCAAGCCGGCAACGUUUAAGCCUCACCCGGCCGACGUAGGCAUUUUGUUUGGCCAAAGUGUGUGGUUUUCUUAAAAAAACACUGCAUUUGUGGCUAACAUUUAAAAUUGGGAAAAUUUCACGUAAAUCUUUGUUUUUCUGGCUUCUCUAGAAAAAUGAACGCACAUUUCUGCACAGCAGGGGUGAGCCAGAGCUGAGUCCCUAAGCUUCCCUUAGACGUGGUGGGCACACUUCAACUUGCCACAACCUCCACUAUCUCCGAUUUCUCUAUCACUGACGCCAAAAGCUGCUGGGGACCAUGUUGGCUGAGCUCGUGUUUUUCCUGCCCCAGCCAGCUUCACUCAGGACUCUGACUUGCUCUACAUUUGGCUCAACUGAAGACUCCCGGGGGUUACGUGCAUGUCAUCCAAGAAAUACAUCUAUGAUGAGCUACAACACAAAUGAAUGGGCCAUUUUAUUGAUUUUUACCUCCUAAUAGUGGAUACAGGUUGCCGUGGUUUCCAGCAGGAUCUCAGAUGCAAAGGGAAGUGAAGAAAACAGAUGAAUCCCUAGGGUACCCCGCCAUGGAACCAAACACCACAUCAACUGGAACUCUUCUUGCAAACGAAGGCUGAAGAUCAAGAAUGACAUUCUCACACCACAGCACAGCUUAAAUACUUCUUUGACAAAAAUAAUAAUAAAUUAUAUUUGACUCAGAAAAUAAAUUCUGUUCAGCAGAGUGACAGGAGGGUCCAUUCAUUGCAUUGCACGAGGGGCUCUACGGAGGGGUGAGGAUGGGUGCAGGAUGCCACAGUGACAAGGGACAUGGGGUGCGGGCCCAG
rnacentral:lncRNA from 1 species